rnacentral:lncRNA from 10 species
AAAAGACUUCGAAAAAGCUGAGAGGUUUCCAGGGCUCAAACCAAUCUUGAAUUGGAAUUUCAAGACAUAAAAACCACUGCAGGAACCUGCUGGAGAAACGGCCUCUGGUAUCUCUAUCUGAAAUAUGAUUAUCUUAAGUUCGCAAAGCAUUGUGUCUGCAGUGUGAGUUUGAAAACAACAAUGUUAAGGCAACUUCGCAGCUUCUUAAUCAAGCCCUUCUCCAUCUCUCCGUGUGGUUUUUGGGGUGGUGGAGGUGGAGCCAAAAAAGAGAGGGCAGUUUCCCAGGGCUGAAGAUGCUACCAUGACUCAUAGGAUCUAUGCAAACCCUGUGAGUGAAUUCUGAGGAAGAAGAAUGAGUAAUAUUUUGAUUUUAUUACUGAUGGUAAUAAGAUAGUAUCAUCAGUGUGGUAUAUUCUGAUUACUGAAUUCUAUUCCCUAUUUUCUUCCUGUGGCCAAAUAAAAUUUGUGUGUGUAAGCUAUGAUAUUUAGUGUUGUUAUCUGAUGAGACAGGUUUAGUGGAAAAGUUCAUUUUAAAUAAACAUUAAAAUUGUUUCAGCCUCAGAUUUUUAAUCCAAAUCAUUCCUUUGACACCAGAAGAAUUUUCCUCAGAGUCAACUCCAAAGAUAAAGCUGCCUGUUUUCCUAUUUGCCCAGAAGUAAAGAGGUUGCAAAA